GGGCACCCCAGGCUAGGGGUUGAAUAGAGUUGUAGCUGCUGGCCCACACCUCAGCUGUAGCAACGCAGGAUCUGAGCUGCAUCUGCAACCUACACACAGCUCACAGCAACACCAGAUCCUUAACCCACUGUUCGAGGCCCGGGAUCAAACCCAUGUCCUCAUGGAUACCAGUCAGGUUCAUUACAACUGAGCCACAAUGGGAAUUACUGAUGGUAGUACCAAUUUCAUAGAGGCCUACUUGAUUCUAAGUUAUCCAGUCAUGCACUUGAAAUGGGAACAGCUUGGUAUAUGUCAGCUAUACCUCAAUGAAGCUGUUAAAAAGAAAAAAAAGAGGAAUUCCCUUGUAGUUCAGCAGGUUAAAAACCUGACAUAGUGUCUGUGAGGAUACAGGUUCCAUCCUUGGCCUCGCUCACUGGGUUAAGGAUCUGGCCUUGCCAAGGCUGUGGUGUAGGCCUCAGCUGUAGCUCUGAUUUGACCCAUGGCCUGGGAACUUCUAUAUGCUUCAGGUGAGGCCAUAAAAAAAAGAAAAAAGGAAAAACCACCAACCCAAUUUAUUUGAAAGUAACUCUUUCUUGGACGCUAUCCUGCAUCCCAGAGCCCCCUCUCUGGAAGUGAAAGGCUUAGGAGACCCCACCAUCCCACUUCCUCUGCCUCCACCCGGUCCUCUGUGAAAGGCCUGGCAGUGGUAACCUGCUCACCACUGCAGCCGCUUGGGGAGCUCCACACUGUUUUUGUCUUUGUUGAAAUCUGCAAUGUACCAAUCAGUAACAAGAGUCUACCAAACAACUAUCAAAAGAAAUAAAAAUGAGCAGCCCUGCACCAGCAACACAGUUAGCUCUACUGAGUGCUAUUUCUCCCCCCCGAUCACCGGCCCCUCCUCAUGGCAGCAGGGCAGGCCGUGGACCAGCGUGGGUGGUCGGUCUGCUGGGCAGCCCCUCCAGUUCAGUUCCUUGUGGGCAGCCUGGGAUUGCUGCUCUCCAUCUCCUUAAUGAACUCUGACGCUCCUGGAAAGCAUUUGUUUACGUAAAAUGUAGCUGAGGGAGGAGUGGGCGGUCGAGUGGAGAAGGAGGGGCACAAGGCCUCCAGGGGAGGUGGGGACAGUGCCCUCAGGAUGGGUUUGCCCCUUCUGCAGGGGAGUGCAAGGAGAACCCUAGCAGGGCUUGGCUGCAAGGCAUGCUGGGACCUCAGCCACAACCAGAGGGAGCUGACUUUGCUGCAGGACAUGCCCUUAGGAGAGGGGGCAUCAAUCCUGUAUCCUGGGUCCAAAGAUGCCGGAUGUCCUUGGCCUUGUACUGACCACUUCAAUGGUACUCAAGGGGUUGUGGUACUUAAGCGUGGGGGUGGGGGUGAGGGAGGGUCAGGGCCCAGGCCAGAGCAGCUCCUGGCUCCAAGUGGUCAGUAUCCUAAUCACAGCACAGAUUGAAGGAAAUGGGGCAGCCCUUGGAGCCUUGGGGAGAAGAGGAUGACCAGGGCCUGGCAGAACAUGGCCGAAGUGGCAGCAUCCACUACGAGAGAUCUGGGUCCAGAUGCAGUCCUGUGAUUGCUCUCAGGCCAUCUGUCCCAUCCCUAAAUGCCAGCUGCUCAUUAUUAGGCAGGCACAUCAUCCUCAUCCUCCCUUGCCAUCUUCCUAACCCAUCUCAUGUUUCCCCACAUUUGACCUCAUUUUCUCCUCCUGGAUUUGACUCUGAGAACCACCUCCCAGCUUUGAACAUUCACUGCCCUCCUAGAGCAGAAGGCAGUUAAUCCCAGGGGCUUCUCAGGUAUGAUGUCAACCACCCACUAGCCCAGCUUGGCUCUGGACCCAGGCCUGCGGCAAGGACCAUUCAGGGUGACUCCCAGAGCUCCACUCGGGCCCACAGCUGAGUGCAGAUGAAAGGAGAGCCUGGUGGUGUGGGCUGGCUGCCACUGCAGCACCAAGCUGGCAGCUCACUGGUACUCAGGACCCAGCUCAUCCAGUCACCUACACCAAGGGGGCUCCUGUCCUGCUCUGAAUUAAGUCUAGAAUCAGCAGUGAUGGUGAAGAUGGUGUCAGAACAGGUACAAGGAUAUUGGUGGGAACAAUGUUCCUAGGAGGCAAGCCAGAAAUAACCGAAGUUCACCAACAACAGAAGAGAUGAUGAAAUGGUUCUGCUCACAUAAAGAGGUAAUCAAGUUAAGUAAUCAUGUUAAUGAGAGGUCAUGAGGGUGUGCCCUGAUCCAAUCUGACUGGUGUUCUUCUAAGAGGAGAUGGGAACACAGACAGGCACAGAAAGAGGACAAUGGGAAGACACAGGGAGAAGGCAGCUAUCUGCAAACCAGAGGCCACAGGAGAAACCAACCCUACCAAUGCUUGGAUUUUGGACUUUCAGCCCCCAGAACUAUGAGGAAUAGAUUUCUGUUGCUCAAGACCCCUUGUCCGUGGUGCUUUUUUGUGUCCACCCAAGCAGACUAAGACAGCAGCCUUCGGUCCUCCAGGC
rnacentral:lncRNA from 1 species